rnacentral:rRNA from 1 species
UUUUUAUGGAGAGUUUGAUCCUGGCUCAGGAUGAACGCUGGCGGCGUGCCUAAUACAUGCAAGUCGAGCGAACGGACGAGAAGCUUGCUUCUCUGAUGUUAGCGGCGGACGGGUGAGUAACACGUGGAUAACCUACCUAUAAGACUGGGAUAACUUCGGGAAACCGGAGCUAAUACCGGAUAAUAUUUUGAACCGCAUGGUUCAAAAGUGAAAGACGGUCUUGCUGUCACUUAUAGAUGGAUCCGCGCUGCAUUAGCUAGUUGGUAAGGUAACGGCUUACCAAGGCAACGAUGCAUAGCCGACCUGAGAGGGUGAUCGGCCACACUGGAACUGAGACACGGUCCAGACUCCUACGGGAGGCAGCAGUAGGGAAUCUUCCGCAAUGGGCGAAAGCCUGACGGAGCAACGCCGCGUGAGUGAUGAAGGUCUUCGGAUCGUAAAACUCUGUUAUUAGGGAAGAACAUAUGUGUAAGUAACUGUGCACAUCUUGACGGUACCUAAUCAGAAAGCCACGGCUAACUACGUGCCAGCAGCCGCGGUAAUACGUAGGUGGCAAGCGUUAUCCGGAAUUAUUGGGCGUAAAGCGCGCGUAGGCGGUUUUUUAAGUCUGAUGUGAAAGCCCACGGCUCAACCGUGGAGGGUCAUUGGAAACUGGAAAACUUGAGUGCAGAAGAGGAAAGUGGAAUUCCAUGUGUAGCGGUGAAAUGCGCAGAGAUAUGGAGGAACACCAGUGGCGAAGGCGACUUUCUGGUCUGUAACUGACGCUGAUGUGCGAAAGCGUGGGGAUCAAACAGGAUUAGAUACCCUGGUAGUCCACGCCGUAAACGAUGAGUGCUAAGUGUUAGGGGGUUUCCGCCCCUUAGUGCUGCAGCUAACGCAUUAAGCACUCCGCCUGGGGAGUACGACCGCAAGGUUGAAACUCAAAGGAAUUGACGGGGACCCGCACAAGCGGUGGAGCAUGUGGUUUAAUUCGAAGCAACGCGAAGAACCUUACCAAAUCUUGACAUCCUUUGACAACUCUAGAGAUAGAGCCUUCCCCUUCGGGGGACAAAGUGACAGGUGGUGCAUGGUUGUCGUCAGCUCGUGUCGUGAGAUGUUGGGUUAAGUCCCGCAACGAGCGCAACCCUUAAGCUUAGUUGCCAUCAUUAAGUUGGGCACUCUAAGUUGACUGCCGGUGACAAACCGGAGGAAGGUGGGGAUGACGUCAAAUCAUCAUGCCCCUUAUGAUUUGGGCUACACACGUGCUACAAUGGACAAUACAAAGGGCAGCGAAACCGCGAGGUCAAGCAAAUCCCAUAAAGUUGUUCUCAGUUCGGAUUGUAGUCUGCAACUCGACUACAUGAAGCUGGAAUCGCUAGUAAUCGUAGAUCAGCAUGCUACGGUGAAUACGUUCCCGGGUCUUGUACACACCGCCCGUCACACCACGAGAGUUUGUAACACCCGAAGCCGGUGGAGUAACCUUUUAGGAGCUAGCCGUCGAAGGUGGGACAAAUGAUUGGGGUGAAGUCGUAACAAGGUAGCCGUAUCGGAAGGUGCGGCUGGAUCACCU